AGCAGCGAGUGGCUAAUAUAUUAUCAGGCAAUUACUGCCAACCUAAGUGCGCAGAGCCAUGUGUGGAGGUAAAGUUUGAGGACGAAAAACAAGGAAAAAUUCAGGUGGUGGCUUCACCUUUGAUACGCCUUACUAAUAAACACGAUGCAACAAUCGAAGAGAUAGGUACCCCAGAGAAAGUCAUUGCUUCUCUUGGCCCUUUUGUCACCGGAAAUUCAUAUGAUCCCGAUGAACUACUCGAGACUUUUGUCGAGAAAAUCGGUAACCAAACUGUAUGAUCUUGUUUUCUCGUAUAGUGGAUUCAUGAUAGAGUGAUUUUGCCAUUAGUUGUUCUUACUCAUUUUCAAUUUCCAUGUUUAUGACUGAUCUUUUGGAAACUUAAUCGCGCAGUACUAUAAAUAUGUUCUGGGGGAGACUCCAUUUGCUCUCACGGGAUCACACAAUCUUGCUAAGGCGACAGAGAAAGGAAGCACGGUCGUCCUUUUUG
rnacentral:sRNA from 1 species